rnacentral:tRNA from 1 species
GGUACCGUAGCCAAGUAGAAAGGCGUCGGUCUGCAAAACCGACAUGCGUGGGUGCGAUUCCCACCGGUACCU